rnacentral:rRNA from 1 species
GACGGACGCUGGCGGCGUGCUUAACACAUGCAAGUCGAGCGGUAAGGCCCUUUCGGGGGUACACGAGCGGCGAACGGGUGAGUAACACGUGGGUGACCUGCCCUCAGCUCUGGGAUAAGCCUGGGAAACCGGGUCUAAUACUGGAUAUGACUCCAUGACGCAUGUUGUGGGGUGGAAAGCCUUGUGCGGCUGAGGAUGGGCCCGCGGCCUAUCAGCUUGUUGGUGGGGUGANGGCCUACCAAGGCGACGACGGGUAGCCGGCCUGAGAGGGCGACCGGCCACACUGGGACUGAGACACGGCCCAGACUCCUACGGGAGGCAGCAGUGGGGAAUCUUGCGCAAUGGGCGAAAGCCUGACGCAGCGACGCCGCGUGAGGGAUGACGGCC